rnacentral:rRNA from 1 species
UGGUCAAGUUAUUAAGGGUGCAGGGCGGAUGCCUUGGCACUAGGAGCCGAUGAAGGACGUGAUAAGCUGCGAUAAGCUUCGGGGAGUUGCACGUAAACUUUGAUCCGAAGAUUUCCGAAUGAGGAAACUCACUUAGAGUAAUGUCUAAGUAUCAUUAAGUGAAUACAUAGCUUAAUGAGGGGAACUCAGGGAACUGAAACAUCUAAGUACCUGAAGGAAGAGAAAGAAAUUCGAUUCCGUAAGUAGCGGCGAGCGAACGCGGAUUAGCCCAAACUAAUAAAGUUUUCUUUAUUGGGGUUGCGGACAUAUCAUAACGAAGAGGUAUCGUAAUUGAAGAGGUUUGGAAAGACCCACCACAGAAGGUAAUAGUCCUGUAUGUUAAACGAGAAGACUUUAGAUAUGAUCCAGAGUACCACGGGACACGUGAAACCCUGUGGGAAGCAGGAGGGACCACCCUCCAAGGCUAAAUACUACCUAGUGACCGAUAGCGUAUAGUACCGUGAGGGAAAGGUGAAAAGAACCCCGGGAGGGGAGUGAAAUAGAACCUGAAACCCUGCACUUACAAGCUGUGGAAGCACAUUUCUUGUGUGACCGCGUACUUUUUGUAGAACGGGCCAACGAGUUACGUUAAGUAGCAAGGUUAAGCACUUAAGGUG